rnacentral:rRNA from 1 species
GAUUGAACGCUGGCGGUAUGCCUAACACAUGCAAGUCGUACGAGAGUUUUUAACNCUAGUGGCGGACGGGUGAGUAACACGUGAGAAUUUGCCUUUAGAGGGGGAUAACAAUUGGAAACGAAUGCUAAUACCCCAUAUGCUUUUGAGUGAAAUGGAUUUUAUCCGCCUAGAGAGAAGCUCGCGGCUGAUUAGCUUGUUGGUAAGGUAAGAGCUUACCAAGGCGACGAUCAGUAUCUGGUUUGAGAGGACGAUCAGACACACUGGAACUGAGACACGGUCCAGACUCCUACGGGAGGCAGCAGUGGGGAAUAUUGGGCAAUGGAGGAAACUCUGACCCAGCGACGCCGCGUGAGGGAUGAAGGCCUUCGGGUUGUAAACCUCUUUCAGUAGGGAAGAAGCGAAAGUGACGGUACCUACAGAAGAAGCACCGGCUAACUAUGUG